UACGGAGGGAGCGAGCGUUGUCCGGAAUUACUGGGCGUAAAGCGCGCGUAGGCGGACAUUUAAGUCAGGGGUGAAAUGCCGGGGCUCAACCUCGGAACUGCCUUUGAUACUGGGUGUCUGGAGUUCGGGAGAGGUGAGUGGAAUUCCGAGUGUAGAGGUGAAAUUCGUAGAUAUUCGGAGGAACACCAGAAGCGAAGGCGGCUCACUGGCCCGAUACUGACGCUGAGGCGCGAAAGCGUGGGGAGCAAACAGG
rnacentral:rRNA from 1 species